GGAAACAAACAGACACCGUCAUCCCCUCCUCGAUCCCCUCCACCUUCCUGCGAACGCACGCGCCUCGCCUCCUCACCUCGCCCGCAAGCCUCGCCCGCCAGCGUCGUCCGCCGUGCUCUCGCCUCGCCCACCGAGCCCCGUCCGCCGCCGAGCGCCUCGCCCGCCAAGCGCCGCCUCGCCUCCCCGUGCGACCGUCGAGCGUGCGCCGCCGAAGUUGCGUGCGCCCAGGGGCCGACUGCGCGCGCCGUGAAGCCGGCCGCAAUCCGCGUCGGGGAGCCGGCCGUGCCUGUGACGGGGAGCAGACGCGCUGCCCCUCGAUCUUUCAGAUGAGCACUUCGGUGGUGUGGCCGUGGCGUGCGCCGUUGGCGGGCCCUGGGCUCGCUCGACUGCGACCACUGCUGCCCGGACCUCGCGACCUGGCUCUUCGCCGCGCACGCGAGCACCGCGCUGUCCGUGCCCUCGGCCCUGCACCGUCAGCGGCUCAGCGCUCGGCCGGAGAGGAGAGGCUGGGGCCCAGCGACGACGGGCUCAUGGUGCCAUACGACAACCAGGGUGCGUGUGCGUGGACAAACUAGGCGCCACGCUAGAGAAGCGCGGGUGCCGCUGCCCCGGCCCAACGCGACGUGCGACACGGUGCUCUGCUUCUGCGGUAUCCGACUCCACCAGAUCGGCCAGCUCCACUGCCCCGCCACGUUUUCCGUCGGUGCUGGUGCCGCGGCCAAGAACGCCACGCCCACUGAAGUGGUGAAGGACCUGGAGAAGAGAUGCAGUAAUGCCUCCUAUGCCGGCUGGUAUCGAUGCGUGCAGUUCCUGCAAUAGCCUGCAUUGAUUUCUUCUGAAGAUGCUCAUGGUGACCACGAAGUAACAUUACUUGGAAACGUGCAAUUUAUGGCAGGAUGAUCGGGGGUGACAGAUUAGAACUGUAUCUAUGAAAGCGAUUUAUUUUAUAUAUCUAUGCCUAAUAUGUUCCAAGUUUCAAGCUUUGCAUUGGCCACUCUAACAUGCAUUGGGAACUGCAUAUCCAUCAGACCAUCACAAGCUCAACUAAAUAACCAGUGCACAUUACGCUUGCACAUUCCAUCAGAAGAUGGCCAAACACUGGCCCAAAUUCAUUAUAGGGACCGCAUGGGAGGUGCAGGAAGGAGGAAGGAAUGGGUAGGAGAGCAAGGUUCUAGACAAGGGGAAGACACUAACAAGGGCAAGAAAGAGUGAGUAGCAUGACCUGAAAUCUUGUGGUAUUUCCUUUCUUUUUCAACUUCUUGAUAGAUGUUUCCACUAAUCAUCAAUUUACUUAUGGCAAACAUGGCAAUAUUGUGAUAGCAUUUACCAUUUGAAGAAUGCCUUUUAUUUUUCUUCUUUGAAAAAAUGAAAUUAGUGGAUAGUAGUCACUAAUGCUUUGCUGUAAAUAAGCUUCCAGUUAUGAUCUGCCACGCCUUUUCUUUUAAAACGUUGAUACUAAUAUGUGGAAAAGUACGAGUUUCUUUUGAAUACAAGGUGCAUAUGAUUUUGUUGAUUGGAUCCCUCAACCAUCAUCGACAUAGCAGAUCAUUCUCCUACUGCAUAUAAGGUGCUCGAGGAACUAGCGUCACCUUUGACACAUUUGCCUUUGCCAAGCAUAAAACUAUGGUCAGUGCAUUAUCAUUGGUUAUUGUCGGAUAUUGUAAAUAGUUAGCACAAGAAAUCAAACAACGACAGAAACAGCCUAGCUAGCCUCACAUCAGUUCUUUAAAAUAUUAAUUUUUCUACAAGAGUAGUUUAUUUAUUUCUAUAAUAGUGCAUGAGUAUCUAUUUAUUUCUAUAAUAGUGCAUGAGUAUCAUGGUUUCUCCAUUGAUUCUGGCUACUUUUUAGGUCUAGCAAUAGUUAAACGUCUAUUUGAUUGAGUUAUCAUAGCUCUAAGUUGUUAAUGACAUUGUUUUUACAUUACUGAAUUUUUCAGCUAAUGAGAUUGUGCACUAAAUCUGAAGGAUGCCUAAUAAUUUAUUGAUUUGGUUACUACAUGCAGUAAAAUUGGGAACCUUUAACAGGUGGGUCCAUGGCAGUGACACAGGUAAGUGAGAUGGUUGGGAUGGGGUGAGGUACGGUCUCAGAUAACAGGGGUGAUCAUGUUUUAUUAUGGCUUAUGGAAGGGUAAAACAAGGCGCUUAUAAUUGUGGGAUUGGUGUUAGAUGGCUAAAAACAAGACACAGUUUUGGGAUGAGAAACAGUUACGGGAUUGUCGGUGUCAGAUGCUUAGCAUGUUGAUUAUUUGAUUAUUAUAAUGUGAAUGUCGUAGCAAAUGAUCAUUUUUUUAUCAUCAGCCUAUUGAACUUUUUGACCAAUA